GGCCGCCUGGCGAAAUGGCAUCGCGUCUGACUACGAUUUAGGUGUUAUAAUUCGGGAUCAGGAGAUUGCAGGUUCGACCCCUGCGGUGGUCA